ensembl:misc_RNA Metazoa_SRP Metazoan signal recognition particle RNA
GCCGGGCGUGGUGGCUCACGCCUGUAAUCCCAGCCCUUUGGGAGGCUGAGGCGUGCGGAUCACCUGAGGCCAGGAGCCCGUGACCAGCCUGGCCAACAUGGUGAAACCACGUCUCUA